rnacentral:rRNA from 1 species
GAGUUUGAUCGUGGCUCAGAUUGAACGCUGGCGGCAUGCCUUACACAUGCAAGUCGAACGGCAGCACGGGAGCUUGCUCCUGGUGGCGAGUGACGAACGGGUGAGUAAUGCAUCGGAACGUAUCCUGGAGUGGGGGAUAACGUAGCGAAAGUUACGCUAAUACCGCAUAUUCUGUGAGCAGGAAAGCGGGGGACCUUCGGGCCUCGCGCUCUUGGAGCGGCCGAUGUCGGAUUAGCUAGUUGGUGAGGUAAAGGCUCACCAAGGCGACGAUCCGUAGCAGGUCUGAGAGGAUGAUCUGCCACACUGGAACUGAGACACGGUCCAGACUCCUACGGGAGGCAGCAGUGGGGAAUUUUGGACAAUGGGGGCAACCCUGAUCCAGCCAUGCCGCGUGAGUGAAGAAGGCCUGG